GGGGAUGGGGUGAAUUAGACAACUUAAAAGCUAAACAUAUGGCUUCCACUAGCUGCAUCAAAACAUAAACUAGAUCAUGCUAUCUCGAUGUGCAAUCUACGGUUGAUCUAGUGUGAAACCCUCAUCCCAAAAUAAGUUUUGCAACCUAUAUCAGGUCCUAUCAAUAUACUACUCUAGGAAAGUAAAAGCACACAAGUUGCAAGUAUGAAAUGCGAAAAUGUAAGGAAGGGAUGAGGGAAAGCAAACUCUUGACACAAGAAUUUAUCCCGUGGUAUCGGUAGGCGCAAAGCCACCACUAGUCCACGUUGUUGAAGCACUCCCAUAAGAGUAUUGCUUCCCGGUCACCAAGUCUCUCCCAAGGUGCCCCUUGACUUGCCACAAAGGCUUAGCCACUAAGGCUCACGUCAAGUCCCUCGGUCACCUUGAUGCCAUCUUCAC
rnacentral:lncRNA from 1 species